UGGACCAAUGAUGAGGAUGUCAUCAACCAAAGAUUAUGAUCAAUCCAGUUUUGUGUACCUGUCGUCCAAC
rnacentral:snoRNA from 1 species